AGCGAACGCUGGCGGCAGGCUUAACACAUGCAAGUCGAACGCACCUUCGGGUGAGUGGCAGACGGGUGAGUAACACGUGGGAACGUACCCUUUGGUCUGGAAUAACUCUGGGAAACUAGAGCUAAUACCGGAUACGCCCUUUUGGGGAAAGGUUUACUGCCGAAGGAUCGGCCCGCGUCUGAUUAGCUAGUUGGUGGGGUAACGGCCUACCAAGGCGACGAUCAGUAGCUGGUCUGAGAGGAUGAUCAGCCACACUGGGACUGAGACACGGCCCAGACUCCUACGGGGGGCAACAGUGGGGAAUAUUGGACAAUGGACGCAAGCCUGAUCCAGCCAUGCGGCGUGAGUGAUGAAGGCCUUAGGGUUGUAAAGCUCUUUUGUCCGGGACGAUAAUGACGGUACCGGAAGAAUAAGCCCCGGCUAACUUCGUGCCAGCCGCCGCCGUAA
rnacentral:rRNA from 1 species